rnacentral:rRNA from 1 species
CCUACGGGAGGCAGCAGUGGGGAAUAUUGCACAAUGGGGGAAACCCUGAUGCAGCAACGCCGCGUGAGUGAUGAAGGUUUUCGGAUCGUAAAGCUCUGUCUUCAGGGACGAUAAUGACGGUACCUGAGGAGGAAGCCACGGCUAACUACGUGCCAGCAGCCGCGGUAAUACGUAGGUGGCGAGCGUUGUCCGGAUUUACUGGGCGUAAAGGGAGCGUAGGCGGAUGAUUAAGUGGGAUGUGAAAUACCCGGGCUCAACUUGGGUGCUGCAUUCCAAACUGGUUAUCUAGAGUGCAGGAGAGGAGAGUGGAAUUCCUAGUGUAGCGGUGAAAUGCGUAGAUAUUAGGAGGAACACCAGUGGCGAAGGCGGCUUACUGGACUGUAACUGACACUGAGGCUCGAAAGCGUGGGGAGCAAACAGGAUUAGAUACCCUGGUA